rnacentral:tRNA from 1 species
GCAAACAUAGCUUAAUUGGCAGAGCAGGGAUUUUGUAAAUCUCAGGUUGUCGGAUCGUUGCCGACUGUUUGCUCCA